rnacentral:lncRNA from 1 species
UUGGAGUUCCAAAUCAGCCCCAAAUCUCCUACAAUUCAACCCCAAAUGUGCAUCAAUUCAGUCCCAAAUCAGUCCCAAAUCUGCCCCUUUUGUACCCAAAACUGAAUGGCACAAUUUGUCCUCCCUGCUCUUUUUGGGGUUCCAAAUCAGUUCCAAAUCUGCAUCAACUCAGCCCUGAAUCAGUCCCAAAUCUGCAUCAAUUCAGCCCAAAAUCUUCCCCCAAAUCAGUCCCAAAUCUGCAUCAAUUCAGCUUCAAAUCUGUCCCAAAUUUGCCCUUUUUGUCCCCA